rnacentral:misc_RNA from 1 species
AAGUCGUAACAAGGUUUCCGUAGGUGAACCUGCGGAAGGAUCAUUAACGUAUAAUCCGGCGGGGCUCGGUACGCUCCUCGCUCCGGCUCGCGAGAGUCGUGCAGCGGGUGCGCCUUGCCCCGUCCACCCUUUACAAACCCCCACUGUGAACCUUUGCGGCCGAGGGUGUCGGCGUGAGUCGACGCCUGAAGCCGCACACCAAACAGACUCCAGUCUUUAAGAAUGUCGAGCGGACAUCGUGCCGCCUCUAAAUUUGUAACAACUUUCAACAACGGAUCUCUUGGCUCUC